GCGUUAGUAAAUCCGU
rnacentral:tRNA from 1 species